CGGUAAUACGGAGGAUCCAAGCGUUAUCCGGAAUCAUUGGGUUUAAAGGGUCCGUAGGCGGUCAGAUAAGUCAGUGGUAGAAGCCCAUCGCUCAACGGUGGAACGGCCAUUGAUACUGUCUGACUUAGAUUAUUAGGAAGUAACUAGAAUAUGUAGUGUAGCGGUGAAAUGCUUAGAGAUUACAUAAGAUACCAAUUGCGAGAACAGGUUAUCAUCAAUUGAUUGACGCUGAUGGACGAAAGCGUGGGUAGCGAACAGGAUUAGAUACCCUGGUAGUCCACGCCGUAAGCGAUGGAUACUAGCUGUUGGAGGCAAUCUCAGUGGCUAAGCGAAAGUGAUAAGUAUCCCACUUAGGGAGUACGUUCGCAAGAAUGAA
rnacentral:rRNA from 1 species